GCCUGCACUCUGGGAUAAGCCUGGGAAACUGGGUCUAAUACUGGAUAUGACCUUUCUCCUUAUGGGGUUUGGUGGAAAGUUUUUCGGUGUAGGAUGAGCCCGCGGCCUAUCAGCUUGUUGGUGGGGUGAUGGCCUACCAAGGCGACGACGGGUAGCCGGCCUGAGAGGGUGAUCGGCCACAUUGGGACUGAGAUACGGCCCAG
rnacentral:rRNA from 1 species